ACGGCGAGUGAAGCGGGAAGAGCUCAAAUUUGAAAGCUGGCAUGCAUAUGUGUGUCUGCAUUGUAAUCUUGAGAGGUGUUUUCAGCAGUGGACCAGGUGCAAGUCCCUUGGAAUAGGGCCAUCAUAGAGGGUGAGAAUCCCGUAUUUGAUCUGGGAAACCAGCUGCUUUGUGAUACACAUUCGACGAGUCGAGUUGUUUGGGAAUGCAGCUCAAAAUGGGUGGUAAAUUCCAUCUAAAGCUAAAUAUUGGGGAGAGACCGAUAGCGAACAAGUACCGUGAGGGAAAGAUGAAAAGGACUUUGGAAAGAGAGUUAAAUAGUACGUGAAAUUGCUAAAAGGGAAGGGUAUAAAGUCAGAUGUGCCAACUUCAAUUCAUCAGGGUAUUUAUUUAUUCUGUGUAGUUUGUUGUUGGCAAGCCAGCAUGAGUUUUGACUAUUGGAUAAAGGAUGGAGGAAUGUAGCACUUUUUUAUUUUUAAUGGGUGUGUUAUAGCCUCCUUCUGUAUACAAUUAGAGCAGGACUGAGGAAUACGUUGCAGUGCACUCUGCUUCUUGCAAGAGGAGCAGGGCAGAUCUAUGGAACUGUUUUGCACUU
rnacentral:rRNA from 1 species